GACGAGCGCUGGCGGCGUGCCUAAUACAUGCAAGUCGAGCGAGCGGAACCAACAGAUUUACUUCGGUAAUGACGUUGGGAAAGCGAGCGGCGGAUGGGUGAGUAACACGUGGGGAACCUGCCCCUAAGUCUGGGAUACCAUUUGGAAACAGGUGCUAAUACCGGAUAAUAAAGCAGAUCGCAUGAUCAGCUUUUGAAAGGCGGCGUAAGCUGUCGCUAAGGGAUGGCCCCGCGGUGCAUUAGCUAGUUGGUAAGGUAAAAGCCCACCAAGGCGAUGAUACAUAGCUGGUCUGAGAGGAUGAACAGCCACAUUGGGACUGAGACACGGCCCAG
rnacentral:rRNA from 1 species